rnacentral:rRNA from 1 species
AACUUUCAGCAACGGAUCUCUUGGCUCUCGCAUCGAUGAAGAACGCAGCGAAAUGCGAUAAGUAAUGUGAAUUGCAGAAUUCAGUGAAUCAUCGAAUCUUUGAACGCACCUUGCGCCCUUUGGCUAUUCCGAAGGGUAUGCCUGUUUGAGUAUCA